GGGUUCAUUGCGUCAUUAAUAGGCGGGAACAGUGCCCCUGUGUUGAGGCUGCAGAGGCCCUAAUUGGUUUUCCCAAGACAGAGGGGCAUAUGAGAUUGAACAAAUAUUUGUUGAAUGAAUGAACAAAGGGAACGCCUUUUAGGGAUGUUUCUGGGGGAAAGGCCUGAGGUUCUCCAGGAGGGUCUGCAGCUAGGGUCGGCCGUGGGGGCUCGCAGCCCGCGGGACCACCGGACCUGCAAGCGUCCCCCUGCCCCGCCCCCGCCUCGGCGCUCUGAGCAAUUGGACUCUGCCAGCUCUAACUCCGGCGGGACUCUGAAACUCAGGCAAGAGCCGAGAGACAGGAUUUCACCAUGUUGGCCGUGCUGGUCUUGAACUCCUGACCUCAAGUGAUUUGCCUGCUUUGGCCUCCCAAAGUGCUGGGAUUACAGACAUGAGUCACCAUGCCCUGCCUGCAGCUUCUUCUUGAAGUGUUCUGGACUUGGAAGAUUUGUUGAAUUACUAUGAAGUCACAUCUAAAGUUUGAAAGAGAUCGGGUCUCACUAUUUUGCCCACGCUGGUCUUGAACUCCUGUCCUCAAGCAGGAUAUCCUCCUGCCUUGGCCUCCCAAAGUUCUGGGAUUACAGUCUCGCUCUGUCGCCAGGCUGGAGUGCACGCUGGAGCGCGAUCUUGUCUUACUACAACCUCUGCCUCCCAGAUUCAAGCGAUUUUCCUGCCUCAGCCUCCCGAGUAGCUGGGACUACAGGGACGCACCACCAUGCCCAGCUAAUUUUUGUAUUUUUAGUAGAGAUGUGGUUUCACCAUGUUGGCCAGGAUGGUCUUGAUCUCUUGACCUCGUGAUCCACCCGCCUCGGCUUCCCAAAGUGCUGGGAUUAUAGGCAUAAGCCACCACGCCUGGCCUGAAAUUAUUUUUCUAUACAGUUCUUAGAGGAAGUGUUUGGGUCACCUACAUAGGCAUGUAGUUCUUGACACUGGUUACUAGAGGAUUUAUAGAGGAUGUUCAUAUAUUCAACAAGCAUUUGUUGAAUACCUAUUAGGUGCUAGCCAUGGAAAUAUGGGAUUGAAAAAAACAGACAAAAAUCCCUAAUCUCUCUUACAAUCUAGUGAGGACAAUCAGACAGUACACAAAAUAAGCAUAAUAUAUAGUAAUCAUGUGGUAGUAAGUUCUAUAGAGCAAAAACAAGUUUAAAGAAGGAGGUUGGGGGGAGUGUUGAGAUGCAUAAGGUUUGCAGUUAUAAAUGUGGUGGUUAGGGAAUCAUUUGCUGAAAAAUGAACAUUGAGCAAAAACCUGAAGGAUGUUAAAGGAAUAAGAUACAUGUAAUCCAGAUGAAAGUUUUUUGGAUAAAGGAAAGAGCAAUUGCUAAAUCCCUGAGGUGGGAGUGGGCUGUUCAUAAGACAGCAAAGCAGCCAGGGUAGCUGAGUGAUUGACAGCGGAAGAUGGAAAAUGGGGAAUAGUUGGUGUAGGACCUAGUUGUGAGGAUAUUGACUUUGUUUUUUUUCCAAGACAGAGCUGUGCUCUGUCGCCCAGGCUAGAGUGCAGUGGCAUGAUCUUGGCUCACUGCAAUCUCCGCCUCCCGGGUUCAAGCAAUGCUCCUGCCUUAGCCUCCCCAGUAGCUGGGAUUACAGGCACCUGCCACCAUGUCCAAUUAAUUUUUGUAUUUUUAGUAGAGAUGGGGUUUCGCCAUGUUAGCCAGGCUGGUCUUGGACUCCUGACCUCAAGUGAUCUGCCCGCCUCAGCCUCCCAAAGUGCUGGGAUUACAGGCGUGAGCCACCAUGCCCACCCUAGGAUAUUUACUUUUAUUUUGAAUAAGGAUGCCACUGGAGGCCAGACGUGGUGGCUAACGCCUAUAAUCCCAGCACUUUGGGAGGACGAGGCGGGUGGAUCACGAGGUUAGGAGAUUGAGACCAUCCUGGCCAACAUGGUGGAACCCCGUCUCUACUAAAAAAAAAAAAAAAAUUAGCCAGGUGUGGUUGCAUGCGCCUGUAGUCCCAGCAACUCAGGAGGCUGAGGAAGGAGAAUCACUUGAACCCGGGAGGUGGAGGUUGCAGUGAGCCGAGAUCGCCCCACUGUACUCCAGCCUGGGUGACAGAGCAAGACUCUGUCUCAAAAAAAAAAAAAAAAAAAAAUGCCACUGGAGAGCUUUGAGGAGAGGAUCAGUCUGGCUACUGGGUUGGGAAUUAAUCAUAGCAGGCAAAGGCAAAAGAAGUGAGGUUAGUUAGGAGGCUUUACAACAACCCAGAUGAGAGAUGGGAGGUUUUAGCCAGGGAGAUGGAGAUGUUGAGAGAGUAGCUGGACUCAGGAUUGUGACAGUGGACUGAAGGAAAAGCAGGUUUUGGGGGAAGAUUGCAUUUCUCCCUUCAACUUCAGUUACGUAGAUCACCCAUAUGCCACACAACUGCAACUCUGUAACAGCCAAUUUUUAGCUUCUUCCUUAUCUAAGCCAUCCUGUAGGCCAUAGGAAUUAAAACUAGGUUGGAUCAAGGAAAAGUGAAUGCUAGAUCCAUACAAAACUAUUUGGAUAUUUGCCUUUGUAUUUUAUUGUUUUGAAAUUAUUUUUAAUGGUUCAAUAAACUCUUACUAGAACUACAAGCAAUAUAAUUAUUUCCUCUGCUUUAUUAGAAAUGUUUUUGUAAUCAUGUUAAUUAUAUUACUUUUAACUAUAUAAGGCUUGUGUCUCUUUUUUAUAAAUUGAUGUUUAUAUCCUCUGUAAGAUAAAUAUAAAGGCUUUUUGUUCAUAUGAGGAUGUGCUGUAAGAUUGCAGGGAGUAUAAAAAUUGGCAAUGGAGUAGGUGACUUGUAUUAUUAGUCUGAUCUUAAUGUUGUAACAUACUGAUCAUGCAAAAUAUAUAAUUAGUUUGUUUUUGCUAUUUAAUAUGUGUAGGACUGUAACAAACAGACUAGAGAAGAUGGCCAUAAGUUACAAGAAAGCAAGUAAAUUACUAUCUAAUUAAAAGUAUUUGAUUCUAAUACUAGCAGAGUUCUGUCUAGAAAAUAAAUUAACUUUCUGUAUGCUUUUUUUGGUCUCAAUUUUCCAAUAAUUUCCCUCAACUCUGAUAUGUGUCUGUUGAAUAAUAUUUCUGAUGUUAAGAAUUAAAGGGGGUGUAGAUCAGUGGUAGGGCGCACGCUUAGCAUGCAUGAGGCCCUGGGUCAAUCCCCAGCACCUCCACAAAGGUUUUCUGGCUGGACACGGUGGCUCACACCUGUAAUCUCAGCAUUUUGGGAAGCUGAGUUGGACAGAUCACUAGAGGUCAGGAGUUCGAGACCAGCGUGGCCAACAUGGUGAAACCCUAUUUCUACUAAAAAUACAAAAAAAUUAGCCGGUCACGGUGGCACACACCUGUAAUCUCAGCUACUUGGGAGGCUGA
rnacentral:tRNA from 1 species